UGCCAGCCGCCGCGGUAAGACGAACCGUACAAACGUUAUUCGGAAUUACUGGGCUUAAAGGGUGCGUAGGCGGCGCCGAAAGUUGGAUGUGAAAGCCCUCGGCUCAACCGAGGAAUUGCGUUCAAAACCGCGGUGCUUGAGGAAGAUAGAGGUGAGCGGAACUUCGGGUGGAGCGGUGAAAUGCGUUGAUAUCCGAAGGAACACCGGUGGCGAAAGCGGCUCACUGGAUCUUUUCUGACGCUGAGGCACGAAAGCUAGGGGAGCGAACGGGAUUAGAUA
rnacentral:rRNA from 1 species